CCAGCAGGAUGCUUCCCAACACGCACAGCAGACAGCCCAGCUUCCCCACCACGUUUAACACCUCCCCCAACAGAGAUCUACGGCUACCUGAUGAGGACACUCAGGGCGCCCAGUGGAGUCACCAGCGUGGCCGGAGCAAACAUGUAGGCGGCGAAGUUACAGGCCUCUCCUGCUCCCACUGCAGAGAGAGAGAAUGGUUACUUCAUUAAAAAAUACAAACAUACACCAAUCCACAC